AUGUCCUUUAAGUUUAGUCCAGAGAGGCUAGCAAGGAAACGAAUUAAAUUGCGGCAUGGUGAAUGCUGUUUUCGUUGAACGCUGCCCUCAGAUAAGGGUGGCGUUUUUUUA
rfam:Lactobacillus mucosae LM1, complete genome.